rnacentral:rRNA from 1 species
AUAUCAAUAAGCGGAGGAAAAGAAACUAACAAGGAUUCCCCUAGUAACUGCGAGUGAAGCGGGAAAAGCUCAAAUUUAAAAUCUGGCGGUCUCGCGGCCGUCCGAGUUGUAAUCUGGAGAAGCGUUUAUCCGCGUCGGACCGUGUACAAGUCUUCUGGAAGGGAGCGUCAUAGAGGGUGAGAAUCCCGUCUUUGACACGGACAACCGAUGCUUUUGUGAUGCGCUCUCGAAGAGUCGAGUUGUUUGGGAAUGCAGCUCAAAAUGGGUGGUAAAUUCCAUCUAAAGCUAAAUAUUGGCGAGAGACCGAUAGCGAACAAGUACCGUGAGGGAAAGAUGAAAAGCACUUUGGAAAGAGAGUUAAACAGUAC